UACGUAGGGUGCAAGCGUUGUCCGGAAUUAUUGGGCGUAAAGAGCUCGUAGGCGGUUUGUCGCGUCGGCUGUGAAAACCUGGGGCUCAACCCCGGGCCUGCAGCCGAUACGGGCAAACUAGAAUUCGGUAGGGGAGACUGGAAUUCCUGGUGUAGCGGUGAAAUGCGCAGAUAUCAGGAGGAACACCGGUGGCGAAGGCGGCUCUCUGGGACGGUACUGACGCUGAGACGCGAAAGCGUGGGGAGCGAACAGG
rnacentral:rRNA from 1 species